GCAAGUCGAGGGGCAGCAUUAGUAUUGUACUAGAUGGCGACCGGCGCACGGGUGCGUAACGCGUAUGCAACCUACCUUAUACAGAGGGAUAGCCCAUGGAAACGUGGAUUAAUACGUCAUAGUAUCAUUGAAUCACAUGUUUUAAUGAUUAAAAUUUCGAUGGUAUAAGAUGAGCCCGCGUAUGAUUAGGUAGUUGGUGAGGUAACAGCUCACCAAGCCGACGAUCAUUAGGGGGUCUGAGAGGAUUAUC
rnacentral:rRNA from 1 species